CCUACGGGUGGCAGCAGUGGGGAAUAUUGGGCAAUGGACGAAAGUCUGACGCAGCAACGCCGCGUGAAGGAUGAAGGCUUUCGGGUCGUAAACUUCUGUUAUUGGGGAAGAGCAGAAGUCUAUAUCACUUUGAAAAUCCACGGCUAACUACAUGCGAGCAGCCGCGGUAAUACGUAGGUGGCAAGCGUUGUCCGGAUUUACUGGGUGUAAAGGGCGUGCAGCCGGAGUGUUAAGUCAGAUGUGAAAGCCACCGUCUCAACCCGUGAACUGCAUUUGAAACUGUAUACCGUGAGUGUCGGAGAGGUAAUCGGAAUUCCUUGUGUAGCGGUGAAAUGCGCAGAUAUUAGGAAGAACACCAGUGGCGAAGGCGGAUUACUGGUCGAUAACUGACGCUGAGGCGCGAAAGCGUGGGGAUCAAACAGGAUUAGAUACCCUAGUAGUC
rnacentral:rRNA from 1 species